rnacentral:rRNA from 1 species
AUGCUACGGUCCCGACUGUUCUAUAUUUGCUCCAUUAUCUUCGCAUUCUAUUUUGCCCAUGUGCAACAGACGAGUGCACAGAUCACAGCACCAUGGGAAGUCGAUGCUUUGAGAGCUAUCAGAGGCAGCUUGAGUGAUCCACUGGGACGUCUCGAUAACUGGAACCGUGGAGAUCCGUGCGUCGGAAAUUGGUCCCGUGUUAUCUGUUACAAUGUAACAGCAAGCGAUGGAUACUUUCAUGUGCGGCAACUGGAGCUUCUACGGUUAAAUUUAUCUGGGACUCUAGCUCCUGAGCUUGGCCAGCUGUCUCGCAUGAAAAUAUUGGAUUUUAUGUGGAACUCAAUUGGUGGGAGCAUUCCUAAGGAGGUUGGCAACAUUACUUCCCUGGAACUAUUGCUCUUAAAUGGGAACCAGUUGACUGGUUCUUUACCAGAGGAAAUUGGCUUCGUUCCUAAUUUGAAUAGGAUUCAGAUUGAUCAGAACCAUAUAUCCGGAUCCAUACCUAAAUCAUUCGCUAACCUGAACAAAACCGAGCACUUUCACAUGAACAAUAAUUCAUUGAGUGGUCAAAUUCCACCUGAACUGUCCAGAUUACCUUCCCUUGUUCAUCUAUUGUUGGAUAACAAUAACUUAUCUGGCUAUCUUCCUCCAGAAUUAUUGCAGCUACCAAAACUGCUCAUCGUCCAGCUAGACAAUAACAACUUCUCGGGGAGUUCAAUUCCUUCAUCUUAUGGCAAUAUCACCACACUUCUGAAGUUGAGUUUGAGAAACUGCAGCUUGGAAGGUCCCGCUCUUGAUGCCAGUGGAAUACCGCAACUUGGCUACUUGGAUAUUAGUUGGAAUCAGUUGACGGGUCCCAUACCAUCUGGCAAACUAGCGAGCAACAUAACUACAAUAGAUCUUUCCCACAAUCGUCUUAACGGUUCUAUUCCUGGAAGUUUCUCCGGCCUUCCUAAUCUCCAAAGAUUGUCAAUGGAGAAUAAUAACUUGGAUGGUUCUGUUCCAUCUGAUGUCUGGCGAAAUAUUGAUUUCAGUGGAAAUAGAAGCCUGAUAUUGGAUUUCCAUAACAACGCUCUCACGAAUCUAUCAAAUCCUCUUACACCCCCUGCGAAUGUUACCAUCCUGUUAUCUGGAAACCCCAUAUGCACAUCGCAAAAUCAACUGAAUAUAUCUCAGUAUUGCCAAUCAAUUUCAGUUGUUGUUCCUGGAGGUUCCACAAAUAACAAUACACUUUGUCCGCCAUGCUCAACCGACCUUCCUCACGAAAACAUACUAAGGUCACCAAUCCCAUGCUUAUGUGCUAUUCCACUUCACGUCGAUUACCGGUUGAAGAGUCCAGGAUUCUGGGAUUUUGUUCCGUACGAAGCUGAAUUUCAACACUACUUAUCAUCUGGUCUUUCAUUGUCUUCGUAUCAAUUGGAAGUCUCUACUUUUAUGUGGGAAGAAGGCCCAAGACUGAAGAUGAACCUUAAGCUUUUCCCUAACAACACUCCGUUGUUUAACUCUGGUGAAGUGCUGAGACUGAGGGACAUGUUCACAGGGUGGCUCAUCACAGACUCGGAUAUAUUUGGGCCCUAUGAGCUUAUCGACUUCAUCCCAGGGUGGUAUGAAAAUGUACUACCGCGUCGUACAGAGUCCAGUCUCAGUACAGGUGCCACUGUUGGUAUUGUCAUCGCAGCAUUUGCUGCAGCGGCAAUUCUUUCAUCCCUCGUUACUCUAAUUAUAUUGAGAAGGCGUUCAAGUCAAAUUUCAAAGAGACGCACUGCGAAAAGAAUUCAGAUGAAAAUUGAUGGCGUAAGAGACCUCACUUUUGAAGAAUUAUCAAAUUGUACAAGCAAUUUUAGUGACUCGGCACUAAUUGGUCAAGGAGGGUAUGGAAAAGUAUACAGGGGGGUUCUGGCUGAUGGAACAGGAGCUGCAGUAAAACGUACACAACAGGGAUCUCUUCAGGGUUCAGAGGAGUUCUUCACAGAGAUAGAAUUGUUGUCCAGGCUGCAUCACCGAAACCUGGUUUCUUUGGUUGGAUAUUGCGAUGAAGAUAAUGAGCAGAUGCUGGUGUAUGAGUAUAUGCCAAAUGGUAAUCUACGUGAUCAUCUUUCAGCUAAAGCUAAAGAGGCUCUAAGUUUUCCCAUGAGGUUACGAAUUGCACUGGGAUCAUCACGAGGGAUCCUCUACUUGCACACGGAAGCAGACCCUCCGAUAUAUCAUCGUGACAUCAAGUCUAGCAAUAUUUUAUUGGACUCGAAGUUUGUAGCAAAGGUUUCUGAUUUUGGUCUCUCGAGGCUUGCCCCACUGCCGGCAAUGGAGGGGGUCGCCCCUGGUCAUGUGUCCACUGUUGUGAAGGGUACCCCGGGUUAUCUUGACCCGGAGUAUUUCCUCACGCAUAAUCUGACGGACAAGAGCGACGUGUACAGCCUCGGUGUCGUUUUUCUGGAACUGCUGACAGGGAUGCAGCCCAUUUCUCAUGGGAAAAACCUGGUCAGAGAGGUUGUGGCGGCGAACCAGUCAGGGAUGAUAUUGUCGGUGGUGGACACACGGAUGGGUCCGUGCCCGUGGGAGUGCGUGGAGAGGUUCGCGGCGCUGGGGCUGCGGUGCUGCCGGGACGAGACGGACGCGAGGCCGUCCAUGGUGGAGGUGGUGCGGGAGCUGGAGACGAUAUGGCAGAUGACGCCAGAGACGGAUAGCGUGCCGUUGGAGUCGGAGUCUCGGUGUCCAUGGACCCCGGGCCGCACAGGCACGCAGCUGUCGUCGUCGUCCGCCGGGGGGUUGAUGAUGGCCUACCAGUACAUGUCGUCCUCGGACGCCUCCGGCAGCAACCUUCUCAGCGGCGUGGUGCGCAGCACCAACCCUCGCUGA